rnacentral:lncRNA from 1 species
ACUCACUUUAGGAAAAUGCAGACUCCGGCUCCACAGUGAAGUGCGUGAAAAAUGCAAGCUCCAACCUCUUCCCCGUUCACAAUUUCCUGGCAGCAAAUGUUCUGAGAACAUAGUAUAGCCCCACAGAAAAGGCAGAGGACAGGAUGCUUUCGCUCAUCAUCUGCAGACCGUGGGCACCUCAAAACUGAACACUUACCAAAACAUGAAACAGAUCUAUAGACAGAAGGCAUGGUGUAUCUUCUGAUUUUAUGUUAGGAAGAACAACUAAAACAAACGCCCGCUCAAAUACGGUCCUGAGAAUGUACAUCAUGAUAUCACAGUUGAGAAGGUUAAUCACUUUGCUGAAAGCAGGGCAGAAUUCAGGAGGUGGUGGUGGCGGCAAUGCUA